GCCGCUUUAGCUCAGUCGGCAGAGCAUCUCACUCGUAAUGAGAAGGUCGUCAGUUCGAUUCUGACAAGCGGCU
rfam:Microbacterium oxydans strain BEL4b RS83_contig000025, whole genome shotgun sequence.